GAGUUUGAUCCUGGCUCAGGAUGAACGCUGGCGGCGUGCUUAACACAUGCAAGUCGAACGAACCUUCGGGUUAGUGGCGGACGGGUGAGUAACGCGUGAGAAUCUGCCCUCAGGAGGGGGAUAACAGCUGGAAACGGCUGCUAAUACCCCAUAUGCCGCGAGGUGAAAUGAAUUUCGCCUGAGGAUGAGCUCGCGUCUGAUUAGCUAGUUGGUGUGGGUAAUGGCUCACCAAGGCAUCGAUCAGUAGCUGGCCUGAGAGGAUGAUCAGCCACACUGGGACUGAGACACGGCCCAGACUCCUACGGGAGGCAGCAGUGGGGAAUUUUCCGCAAUGGGCGAAAGCCUGACGGAGCAACGCCGCGUGAGGGAUGAAGGCCUCUGGGCUGUAAACCUCUUUUAUCAAGGAAGAAGAUCUGACGGUACUUGAUGAAUAAGCCACGGCUAAUUCCGUGCCAGCAGCCGCGGUAAUACGGGAGUGGCAAGCGUUAUCCGGAAUUAUUGGGCGUAAAGCGUCCGCAGGCGGCCCUUCAAGUCUGCUGUUAAAAAGUGGAGCUUAACUCCAUCAUGGCAGUGGAAACUGAGGGGCUUGAGUGUGGUAGGGGCAGAGGGAAUUCCCGGUGUAGCGGUGAAAUGCGUAGAUAUCGGGAAGAACACCAGUGGCGAAGGCGCUCUGCUGGGCCAUCACUGACGCUCAUGGACGAAAGCCAGGGGAGCGAAAGGGAUUAGAUACCCCUGUAGUCCUGGCCGUAAACGAUGAACACUAGGUGUCGGGGGAAUCGACCCCCUCGGUGUCGUAGCCAACGCGUUAAGUGUUCCGCCUGGGGAGUACGCACGCAAGUGUGAAACUCAAAGGAAUUGACGGGGGCCCGCACAAGCGGUGGAGUAUGUGGUUUAAUUCGAUGCAACGCGAAGAACCUUACCAGGGUUUGACAUCCUGCGAAUCUCUUGGAAACGAGAGAGUGCCUUCGGGAGCGCAGUGACAGAUGGUGCAUGGCUGUCGUCAGCUCGUGUCGUGAGAUGUUGGGUUAAGUCCCGCAACGAGCGCAACCCACGUCUUUAGUUGCCAGCAUUUAAUUGGGCACUCUAGAGAGACCGCCGGUGAUAAACCGGAGGAAGGUGUGGAUGACGUCAAGUCAUCAUGCCCCUUACAUCCUGGGCUACACACGUACUACAAUGCUACGGACAAAGGGCAGCAAGUUCGCGAGGACAAGCAAAUCCCAUAAACCGUGGCUCAGUUCAGAUCGUAGGCUGCAACUCGCCUACGUGAAGUAGGAAUCGCUAGUAAUCGCAGGUCAGCAUACUGCGGUGAAUACGUUCCCGGGCCUUGUACACACCGCCCGUCACACCAUGGAAGUUGGCCACGCCCGAAGCCGUUACUCCAACCCUUGUGGAGGAGGACGUCGAAGGUGGGGCUGAUGACUGGGGUGAAGUCGUAACAAGGUAACC
rnacentral:rRNA from 1 species